UAAACUUUCCCUAAGAGGCGUGGUUUCUUGAAAUGAGGGGGUGGUCUCUGAAGGAAAGUCUGGGAACAUGGUUUGGGUAAUUUUACCAGAAAAAGAACAUGAGGAAAGAGGAAAUACGGUAACGAUGAAUUCCUAUGAGUCCCCGCACCUAACACGGAGGCCUUCAGCAGCAUCCAUUGACUACAAUAAUUAGGAUUCGGAUCCAGUGAAGCGUUCCCUUCAAGGUCAUGAUCUGCAUAGCAGGAAGGUGAUGGAGCAGGGGUGUGCCAC